CUAUUAACAACGGUACAUGGAUCUUCGCCGUAGAUUAGAGAUCAACCAACGGAAUCAGAAAAACAGAAUCACUUCGCCGACAAGGAGACGGAGUGGAAAGCAACGUAGAAUACACCCGCCUACACGAAUUUGUUGAUGUAACGGAGAAAUGGUGAACAGAAUCGUAAUGCCGAUGACGGAACGGUCGAGGACGGCGGACUGCCGAUGGGGGAGCAUUUUAAGAUCACUAAAGGUGGCCUGCCCUGAAGUGAAUAUUUAUGAAUA